rnacentral:misc_RNA from 1 species
UACGUAGGGACCAAGCGUUAUCCGGAAUCACUGGGUGUAAAGGGUACGCAGGCGGACAUGUAGGUCUAAUGUGAAAGUCCCAGGCUUAACCUGGGAAUUGCAUUGGAAACCCCAUGUCUUGAGGGUCAGAGAGGCAGGCGCAAUUCGUGGUGUAGCGGUGAAAUGCGUAGAUAUCACGAGGAACAUCAGUGGUGUAGACGGCCUGCUGGAUGAACCCUGACGCUGAGGUACGAAAGCGUGGGGAGCGAACGGG